GCCCGGUUAGCUCAAUCGGUAGAGCGUGAGACUCUUAAUCUCAAGGUUGCGGGUGAGUAGCACAUUCGUACAUAGAAAAAAAAAAAAAAAAAGUGCAGCAAAAUUUACUAAUUCCCGCUAGGUUCGACCCCCGCAUCGGGCU